AUAAUGCUCAUGAUUUUUGUGGUGGUUUUUGUUGAUUGUGGCAUUUGGAACCGCCAUAAAUUUUUUUUUUAACUUGAGUGAUGUUGCAUAUGAGAGUGUGAUUAGUAUUGUUGCAUAUGAGAAAGUGAAGAUGAUGUCACUGACGAACCCUAAUUUCUUGCCUUUGUUCAUCUUGCAUUGAUUUGUCAUUCAACUCCUCGUUGUCGCUCAUUCCCUUGUUAAAGCUCAUCUCCUCACUACUGCAAGCAACGCCAUUGUCGCUGCCUUCAUUGAGCUUCUACGAUUUGGCUUCGAUCUGAAGAUUUAUCAGCGUUCGUCGGAGCUCCAAUUUCUAUGUUUCUUCAAAUCACAUAUUAUCUCUCUCUCUCUCUCUCUCUCUCUCUCUCCCUCUCUCUCUCUCUCUGACGCUUAGCUUAUUCUCCUCGGAGCUCCGAAAAAACCACCACAGUCACCACCAACACUGAGCGCCACCAUGGAAGGCGGGGGAGCAAUGCUAUCAGAUAUUUACCAAAGCGCGAAGAAGCUCCUCCUAAAUACGCGUGACGGCGUGGAAUGCCUCAAGAGCCUCGACUACUCCGCCUCCUCUGAUCUCUCCCUCUCCCUCUCCAAUGACUUCUCUCACAUCCAAUCCCUAUGCGUCCAGAUGGAUCGAUUCUGGCACUCUAUCGCCGCCAAAUCUCAACGCGAUCUCUGAAAAAGAUUCAUUCCGAAGCAUCCUCCUCCUUCACCAUUUUUUAACCUGUUCUGCAUAAGUUCUAAUAAAAAAUUUUGUUUCUGCAACACAUUAGUUAUUAGGCCAUGAUUGUUCUGAAAUAAACGAAGUAUCUGCAAUCGAUGAAAUAAAUUGCCUUUUGGUUGAGAGGUAAAAGUUUAACUCCUUUUGGUAGAAAGCUAGGUUCUGUUUGUUAGGACAAAUUAGGGAUUGAGGGAGAUAUGCUAGCUUUUCCUACAAAUGAAUGAAUAGAUUGUAUAGUGAUUAUUCUGCAGAUGCUCACCACUUCAUCCACUUAUGGUAACAUCCUUAUGAUUUUGCAGAGAAAAGCAUAGCCUUGAGAAAAACUAAGUCUCAAAUUUUUACAAAAAUUUCUAUGCUGCAGUUGAAAGCUUUAAAAAUGCACUGGUCUUAGAGCCAAAUGAUGCUGGGAUUAAGAAGGAACUUGCUGCUGCCAGGAAGAAGGUUGCUGAUAGGCGUGACCAGGAGAAAAAGGCAUAUAGCAAGAUGUUUCAAUAAGCAUUUCCAGCAGGCUAAGCAAGAUUAUUUUAAAUGAAAAAAGUUUUUAUCUUGAGUUGAGCUACUUUUCGUGAAGACUUCCAGAUCAAAUAGCUACUUCAAUUAGGUUUUGCUAUUACCAUUUUAUUUUUCUAUUCAUUUGAUUUAUUAUAUUUUUGGGUUUGCUAAUUGAUUUAAAGCAUUUUGAAUGGUUCACAAUACUCUAUCUGGUAUAAAGCAUUUCUACCUAUGCUAGAAUGCUUUGGGAAAUAUAUUUUAUUAAUAUACUUUCUUUAAUUAUUCAGUUUAUUACCUAGUGUGAUAUGUGUUAUUUACAAAGAGGCUUGACUAUGUUAAUUUUAUUUUGACUUUAUUAAGAUAAUCUGAUAGGUAAAACGAGUAACUCUUUCUAACUUGUUAUACAUUGAAUUUCUUAGUCAUAAUAGAAUUUUAAUCUUGAUUUCUUCUUAUUUUCAAAAUUUACGGGUAUAUAAACUCUGGUUGUCCUCACACUGCACUAAAUAUGCUCAAUAAAAUAGUACAUCAAAAAUUAAGGCCUAACAAGAUCACAUAUAAUACACUAAUUUUAGCAUGUGUCAAGAGUGAAAAGAUGGAUACUGCAAUGCAGUUUUUGGAGAAAAUGAAGGUAAGCACUUGAAAUUCAGGUCCUAUGGUAGAUAAAUAUGAAACCUUUUGAAGUUUCUCCUUUUUAUAUUUUUAGGGCAAUUCAGAAAAAUUCAUCAAUGAAGAUCUAUUUCUAAAUAUCAUUACAUAUUCAACAUGCUCAAGGCUUUUGGAGAGGCAAAUGAUCUUGCUUCAGAACUCCUUACACUGCAAUAAUUGAUGCUUUACUUAAAUGUGGCUCGGUUAAGGGUGCUUUGUAUAUUUUUGGAGAAAUAUUGAAGAAAGCUGGUAGGAAUGCCAAGUUAAAACUAAAACCUCAUCUAUACCUCUCCAUGAUGCGUGCUUUUGCUUUACAAGGAGAUUAUGAUCUAGUUAAGAAUUUGCAUAAGCGGAUUUGGCCAGAUUCUAUAGGGAUCAUCUUGCCAGUUGUACAAAAAGAAGCUAAUCACCUUCUCAUGAAAACAUCACUGAAUGUUGGCCAGGUGGUAACUACUCUUGCAGUAUACGGUAACUGGAGCUUUGAAUGAAUCAAGGGAAUAGGAUGGGAUUGGGCUGGUGUAAUCUAUCUAUUAUUUAUUUAGUAUUUUUUUAUGUUAAUAUCUCAAGUUUAAUAAAUAUGAUGUAAAGAAAAUAUGUUAUAGUAAAGAGAAAUGGUAUAAACCAUUUGAGUAGUUAAUCAGUUUUUUUUAUGCUCUUGUA